ACUGGNACUUUCCUUCGGGACAGAUAAGACAGGUGGUGCAUGGUUGUCGUCAUCUCGUGUCGUGAGAUGUUGGGUUAAGUCCCGCAACGAGCGCAACCCCUAUUUUUAGUAGCCAGCAUUUCGGCUGGGCACUCUAAUGAGACUGCCGGGGAUAACCCGGAAGAAGGGGGGGAUGACUUCAAAUCAUCCUGCCCCUUACUAUUUGGGCUACACACGUGCUACAAUGGCGUAAACAAAGGGAAACGACCCCGCGAGGGUAAACAAAUCCCAAAAAUAACGUCUCAUUUCGGAUUGUAGUCUGCAACUCGACUACAUGAAGCUGGAAUCGCUAAUAAUCGCAAAUCAAAAUGCUGCGGUGAAUACUUUCCCGGGUCUUGUACACACCG
rnacentral:rRNA from 1 species